GAUGAACGCUAGCGGCAGGCCUAAUACAUGCAAGUCGAACGGGAUUAAGAGGCUUGCUUCUUAUGAGAGUGGCGCACGGGUGCGUAACACGUAUGCAACCUACCUUCAACUGGGGGAUAGCCUUCCGAAAGGGAGAUUAAUACCGCAUAAUAUAAUUGAGUGGCAUCACUUGAUUCCCCCCAGUAAGGGUUGAAGAUGGGCAUGCGUCCGAUUAGUUUGUUGGUGAGGUAACGGCGCACCAAGACUACGAUCGGUAGGGGAUCUGAGAGGAUGGCCCCCCACACUGGUACUGAGACACGGACCAGACUCCUACGGGAGGCAGCAGUAAGGAAUAUUGGUCAAUGGACGGAAGUCUGAACCAGCCAUGCCGCGUGCAGGAAGACGGUCCUCUGGAUUGUAAACUGCUUUUGUUAGGGAAGAAACUUCCGUACGUGUACGGGACUGACGGUACCUAAAGAAUAAGGAUCGGCUAACUCCGUGCCAGCAGCCGCCGUAAGAC
rnacentral:rRNA from 1 species